GGGGUAGUAAAGGUUUCGACGGGGGCUGUGAAGCUGGAGAAGCUAUCCGCAGGCGAUGCGUCAAAUCGCAAAAUAAAUAUAAACGCUGAAGAUAAUUUAGCAAUCGCUGCCUAAUGGCGGCUGUCUGACUUAGAGCACCUGCACUUUAAGACCCAGGCAUCGACGAUGCAGGAAACGACGUAUGUUAAGCUUUGCGCAUACGGGCGUAUCAUGAAGCUACCAAAAGCAGUCAGGUGUCAGUUCCCGGCUGCCGGAGGGAAUGAAAAAUAACUGACUAUGAUAGUAGAAGGACAGGGGAUUGGCUUUCGGACACGGGUUCGACUCCCGUCUACUCCAUUC
rnacentral:tmRNA from 1 species